CCCGUCGGUGCGCGGGAUAUAGUCCCCGUUCGUCACAAACGACCGUUGACAUUUUGUCAACCUCAAAUUCGAAUAUAUUAACCGUUUACACGCACGAGAAUAUCCCUUUAUCCAAACUAGCAAGUGUGUCUACUGUUUUCUUACUAGGCAAACAAAAGUUUGUCACAGCAUGUGCGCAGUUCACUUUACCUAUGUGCAUUCAUACUAAAAGCCAUUCGUCCACAAGCAAGUUAUUUAUUUGCGCUAUUGACGUAAGCUUUCAUGAAGGCCAAACCAAUGCUGAUUCGUCAAUGCUGAUUGUCAGCUUGAAAGUAAAGAUGAGCAAAGUGGUUCAACUGAAUCUUAUGGUUGCAGUAGGGCAUAUUAGAAGUAAGUGACAAGUAUGUGUCAGCAAUUGUUUAUGCUUCUUAACCCUAGAUACUUUUGAUUCAAUCCUUUUGGUGAUGACGUAAUGUGGCAGAAAACAGUAGACACACUUCAUCUCAUCGGAAACCCUGAAUGAUUGGUAUUUGUGAGCAUGUGUGCCUGUGAGUGUGUAAGGGUGGAUGUGGGUGUGUGGGUAUGUAUGUGCGUAUGUGAGGGUGUGCGUGUCAUCUUACACGUAAUUUAGUGAAUGAGUGAAUUGGUACUAGUUUUCAAGUAAAUACGUGCAUGAGUGCGUGUAGUCAGUGGUGUAUGGAACUAGCAUUGUGCCUGCCUGCUGCCAACGAAAUAUGCAAGCCCACACAGAGAAAACAGUUUUAUUGUGCAAAACUACAUGCUGCUGGCAGGGUUUACAUGCAAGUCACAUAUUGCAGGUCUACCAUAAGCAGAGCGAUGUGACAUCUGAUAAGUACCUAACUCACAGCAACACAUACUCUGCAUGUCCAGGGAAAGUGAGUUGUGCUCGGAACAGAUUGGCCAGACAGUUUUGUCCUAUCAAAUUCAGAAUUGUUUCAUCCUCCUCACAGUUGCCAUUAACAUCAUGAGCACACAUUAUUGCUAGAUCUGAAUGCCAGCUGCCUAUUGCACCGCUGGCACGUAGUUUGAGACAAAGAUGCCGCCAGUUUUCCACCUCGCUGCUGAUACAAUGCAAUACUGCUACAAAAUGUCCGUGUUCUGUGUUUUUAGUGUUGUAUGUUUGUAUAUGAGUCUUGCGUCGUGUGAACAUUACCUACAUGAGUUUAAAGUGUUCCCGCGAAAGUAGGUACUGAAUUAGCUCAAGCCAGGAUUGCGUUGCGGAUAUAUUUGUAGGCCAUACAAUGUUUUAUGGCGUCAUUUACGACAUUUCCUGUUUUUCUUGUCGUUGUAUGCACGUGAGUUGUGCCGCAUGUUGCGCUUGUAAAUCAUGUUCUCAAUGUCAUUUUCUUUUGGUACAAUUGGUCACCACUACACAUCACUCGCAUACACUCGCCCAAGCAAGUCGGAUAUCAAUCACUGUCCAGAAGUGCAUGAUGCAUUCAACCACGCAUAGAACACUGGCACACCAAGAACAUGAACUCACGCAAAAACGAGAGGGCUAUCACACGACUUCGUAUUGGACACACCGCUAUCACACACAACUACAUCAUCACAAGAAGCCCGAGACCGAAAUGCAACACCUGCAACACUUUCAUCACUGUCAAACAUCUGCUACUCACAUGCCCACAAUACCAACACCACAGGACACACAUACAAACAUACUGCAGAGACGCCAACAUCCCACUAACACUCACAACACUGCUCGGGGACUUACACCCCGAGCUAACAACACUACUCAUCCACUAAAGACACAACACUGGGCUGAUCAAUGACCUGUAAAUCUCCUCCCCUAGAGCCAAGGACAAAAAAAGCCAAAAAAGCCAAAAAAAGAAGCAAAAAAGAAAAAACAAUAUUCAAAAUAAUGAGAAUCAAAAUAAAAGACCCCAGAAUGGCAAAAUGGCAAAAAAAAAAACAAAAACAAAAAAAAAUAAUAGAAGGGGCAAUCCGGCUACCCGGGAGGAGAUAGCUAGGAACCCAGUCCCACCCCUCAGCCCACCCUUACGAGCCAAGAAGACAACGGACACUUCAAGGCAACGGACGGACCAACAACGAAGACGGACGACAGAACCGGGCCCAAAUACAGGACGCUGUGGUGGCCCGUAAGCUACAAAUACCAUACCAUACCAUACCAGUGCAUCAUGCAGCAGAAUAAGCUUCAUUGAACACACUCGUCAUCAUGAACGGCAUCUAGGAGUUUCAUGAGUUUGGAUCUGUGACCAGCUGAUUUCGCAGUAUCCAAUGGCAACCGUGUAUGACCAGGCGCCGCUUGGACGCCUUGUCCAGUCACGUCUUCUGGGACUGUGUGAUGACUGCCUCUGCAUUCUCAAGUGCCAGUUUCUGCCUCCGGCCCAUUUCAUUAUCAAAGGAUGCUGUUAACUUAACGAACAGCUCUGCUCCAAGAUUCCAAACGGUUUUACGGUACUGUAUGCCUACAAAACGUUAAUAUUUUUUGGAGGCGGUAAUACUCGGAUGAACUGACCUUUAUGGGUGGGUAUUCAACGUUGAAUAAAGUAGGCUUGUAGCCCUCUGCCUAUUGACUUCUAAGGGUUUUAGUAAUAUUUAUCGAAUAUCUCAUCUGAAAUGCAUUUUCACUCACAGUCGUCGAAAUCGAAAAAUCAUAAGCUUAGAAAUCCGCGGACUUGACAUAUUAUAUUUUAUCGACGAUUCGUUUCGACUUGCUGUCAUGUCAGCUAAUCAUCCGUUGCUUCUCCUAUUUUCACAGGUGCAUUACCAGUCAUCUUUACCGUCGAUACCGUUGAAGAUUUUACCGUCGAUCACGGAGCACCCAUUGCGCUGGCCGUUGCUGGCACUUUUUUAUUUGUCACUAGCUAUUAGUUAUCUGCAGAUAUACAUUAGCCACCUGUACACCCGCUUACACUAGCUCUCAUCAUCUAGUUCUACGUAUGUGUGUGUUUGUUUUAAUUGUAUUGCCGAUGAAUUCGGUAGACAUGCUCCGCCCGCAAACAUGUACCACAUGAUGCAGUUCACUGAAUGUAGCAGUUAAUCACUCGUAAAAAGCGGUCAUGUUUUCGUAUAGUGUAGGUAUGCAUCUAUGUAAGCAUGUGUUCACACUCAUGAGCGAUCCACACAUGAUAUUGCAUUUCCUGUUCAGUUAUAUUUUUAGCACUGGAACACGAUGCUCAUACACUGUGUUGUUAUCUUUCUUUUUUCGCCUGCUCCUUCCUCCAACUUGUGUCUUUGAGUAUUUCAGUCACAUGCUCAAACGUUCUUAAAUGCUCUCGCCAUCGGUUUACGGAUGCGUUGAAAACGGACAUGUGAUGACCAAAUUUAACAAUAUGCGGACAAUGGAUCGACUUCUUGAAGCCUGUGGACGUGAUACACCUUCUCCAUCACCAUCAAGAGAUCAACAUUUUCGAAGACACUUGCGUACGGCUGCAGUGUCCGGCGCAAUGCUGAAUGCGACCUGUUAUCUGUUGGAUCUACUCUGUGAGCCCGAACCCCAGUGCAAUGGCACUGUUCGACUAUAGCGCUGGACGUCGUCUACUUUUUGCUAGAGGGAAAGGUCAUCAUCCGUCCAUGAACUUCGGGCUGCUCACAGCUAUAUUGCCUUGGCAAGUUCUUUGAGCACUCAAUACUGGACUUGGGCUGCGAAAGCUAAUGACAAUUUGGGGAGCUUGAUAUUGCAAUGGCUAUGACGUGAAGGCUCAAUAUGACGAACAGCUCGACUAUUCACCAUUGUCAACGCUUAUGAUAGCUAAAUAUCAUUGUGCUUGGUGUACAUUCACGUCUCGUUUCCUUGCUCCAUUUGUACCUCACCGGUCGUCCGUCCCCACAGGCCUCGGCUGCAGCACAAGCCACAUUCAUCGGCCCAAUCAUCAGUUAUUCAUCCUGCAAGUUUUAAGUCACUUCGUUGUGACCCGGACAUCGUCAUCUUUCAACGAGUUCAAAUGAUUAUUUCAUUCAUCAUCGUCGAUCAGACUCAUCAUGUAAAGACACUUCCAUAAUGCUAGCCGCCAUCUACGUUUGUGCAGGAAGCAAAUAUCAGGUUGUUAUUAGCUGCGGGCUACUCAGUACCGACUGAACUACUGGCAGUAGUGUGCGAGCACCUAAUACUUGUAUUGUGAUACCAAAGCUAAAACGGAUGAUAGCUUAGCGCAUAGGGCCCUACCGCUUUCCACACACACACACAAACAAAACUUGACUUUGGGCAUUAGCACCAUGGCAGGAUAAACAGGCAGUUUCGCUGUUUUUCACUGCUUUCAUUGGCAGGUGUUACUGCUCAUUCCCGUUUUAUGUGAUGUUAGAACAGCCCUUCAUCAUAGUCCUGUUUUCUCCUUUGCCGUUUUCCAUAGACAUCAGAUGCGACAUGCACUCCAAAGAUCGGUCAGGCGCAUCACCGUCAAUCCGGUCGCCUGUUAAGCAGUUCGUAAUCACCGUCAGUCUUCGACAUCUGUCAACACACUUAUCCACAUUAUCGCCUUACUUUUGAUCUUAUCAAUAUGCAUGAAUGAGUGCAAAAUGCAUUUCAAUAUUGCAUCAGUUGAUGUUGUAUCGCAAUGACACUGCGUCCUCACCUCACAUCUGUUGUGCAUACUUGAUCACGAAUGCCAGUUAUACGCAGAUUCACAUGGUGAAGUUUUACUCCGUUGACGUUUUCUUUCCAUUCUUGUAGUCGAUCAAGAGGGAUUACAGUUGCACAUGCGGCCUUACACAUGCGUCCUUACAUGUUAGCUGAUUGAUAUGUUGGACACACUGGUUCCUGUGACUCCAAGUAGUUCUGCAUUGGUAUUGCUUCACUUUAUAUGUUCUACCCAAAGAUCGUUUCUAGUUUUGUCUUAGCUUGCAGCUGUAUGCCAUGAACAUACAGGGUACUGCGCAUCUUUAUCGUGACAUUCCUGUAGUUUCGUCACUUUCGCGGAUGAUUAGGACCAUGAGCUCAGUUGCAGAUGCGUCCAGCAGCCACCGACAUUUCUACACUUUAAAUUCCUAGUCUCGGAUCUUAUCCACAUGCCAACAUGAUUUGAACAUUUCACACGUUUAGUGAUGAAAUGAGCAGGUAUCAUCUACUACAUUAUAUUUUCAUGUAAAGCACACUC
rnacentral:lncRNA from 1 species